CUUUGGGAGGCCAUGGUGGGCAGAUCACGAGGUCAGGAAAUCGAGACCAUCCUGGCUAACGUGGUGAAAUCUUGUCUCUACUAAAAACACAAAAAAUUAACCCAGGUAUGGUGGCAUGCACCUGUAGUCCCAGCUACUCGGGAGGCUGAGGCAGGAGAAUCGCUUGAACCAGGGAGGUGGAGGUUGCAGUGAGCUGAGAUUGCGCCACUGCACUCCAGCCUGGGUGACAGAGACUCUGUCUCAAAAAAAAAAAAAAAAAAGAAAAAGAAAAAUUAGAUGGGUGUGGUGGCAUGUGCCUGUAAUCCCAGCUACUGGGGAGCCUGAGGCAGGAGAAUCGCUUGAACCUGGGAGGCAGAGGUUACAGUGAGCCAAGAUUGCACCACUGCAGUCUGCCUGGGUGACAGAGCUAGACUCUGUCUCAAAAACAGAAAAACAAAAAAACAACUUUCCAGUGGCUUCUCACUGCUCUGAGAAUAAACUCCAGGCUCUUCCAUUGCAACCAACAGGAUCUGGUGAUUCGACCCCAGCCCCUCUUUCCAGGCCCUCAUCACCUUGAUCCUCCCUUAACCUAUCCUGCUCCAGCUGCACUGGCUGCCUUCCUAUUCCUCCAGCAUACCAAGAUUGUUUCUGCCACAGGGCCUUUGCAUCUGCUGUUCUCUUCGCCUGGACACCUCUUG
rnacentral:lncRNA from 10 species